CGAGUGUACACGUUGGGCGCUUUGAACCUCGCUCCAAAAGGUGAGGAGCUCAAACUCUCCCUACCGACGAUGAAAAGAUCCGCGCAAAAUGACUCAAACCUUUGAAAUCGCUCCCGCCUGGGAAGAUAUUUGACAGAUCAGACGGAAAACGAUGGCCAGCGCUCCACGCUGCCGUGGCUGUACGUGGGCUCCUUCCCCGUGGAGAGGCUCCCGGAGCAGCUCGCUGCGGAGAGGCUUCAAGCGCGACUCCCCGGACGUCACACGAUAGAUUAGAAUCUUGAGACGGGAUUAAUCGCCGCGUGUUGGAGCACGCGCUGUGCAAUAGUGGCCCUCGACACGCGGGGCCGCGCGGCUCUCCAUUCAUCCCCAGCCACACGCGGGGCAGGUUCCCGCCCGGGACGGCAGGUGAGGGCAAUUCACGGUAAUUAACCAGCUGCGAGGGUGGAAAAGCAGCGGCACCGGGUCUCGAGGAGCCGCUCCGGGGACACGCGGAGGCUGAGUGUUUGUACACGACUGGAGGAGGCUUCACGGCUAAAUUCCCCUCGCGCGCAUCUGUACCGACAUUCAAACAUCUGCCGCUGCCGCUUUGCCAGGCGGCAGAGAGAACAGUGGAGGAGAGCCGCUUUGAUGCCGCGAGGCUGGAGAGGACGCGAUAAAUCCGUCCGAAAAGCUGAGCAGGUAGCGAAGAGCCGAUAAGAACAGCUGCUGCACGCGCCCUUUGCGCAACAAUGAUGUUCAGCGUCGACAGUCGAGAACGAGCGAAGCCCUUCAUCAGGGGGACCGGGGACCUUCAUCACAGCUGGAACAGCCGUGUUCGUCUGUUUACAUGGGACAGUGAAACAUUAGCCUUGGUGUCACUGACCUUUCCCUGAGUCAGGGCGAUGGGCCUCUGCUCUAAUCUCUGCAAGGAAAAUGAAGUCUGCCACCAAGACUCCUAAUGGAAAAAUAUGUUCAGACGUGAUCUUGUGAAAAAGCACUUGACUUCCCUCACAAAGGUAAAGUCUGUUGAUUCCUGUGAAUGAGAGGAGAACUGUUACCCAUCACGCUGGCUUUUAUGAUUCAGUGGCUGCUCCUUAGAGUAGCUGCCCCUUUAAAUACAACAAGCUUUUGGCUCUAAUGGCGUUUUUGUUCAAUGAACUAACAAAAACACAUUAAAAAUGUCUGGGGAAUGUGAAACUCUAUGACAUAGGCUGCACUGAUGUAAAACUUCUAUAACCUGUUCUGAUUUUUGUCAGGCUUAAAAUAAUCUUCUUCUGCUUCUUCUUGUUCUUUUUCUUCUUAUUAUUAUUAAUAUAAUAUAAUAAUAAAAAAAGCUGUAAUCUAUAACUCUACUCUUUAAACUCUACUUAGGUUCUGGGGUUAUUUAAAGGGCAGUAGCAUAAGAACUGAUAAUGGCACUUACAGUACUAUUGUGUCUCUACAGUUCAUGUGAGAUUUAUGUAAAGGUCAGAUCUCGCCAGGACCAUUAACUACAGAAAUCGAGGUAAUUCCAAAGCACAUCUACAUUCCUCCAGCCGUGGCCCCCUGAAUGCAGCGGCCCUCUAAUAGCAGCAACCGGACGGGUUGCGUUUGUGUGUGCAGCAGAGAUGGACAGUGUAAUGGCUGGUGGUGGCCUCUUAAAAUGACACAGGGGGGCCUGUGACCAGCCCAGAGGGCGCGUGUCCCAGGGUCAUGUGUCAUUAGCCCCGUCUGAUUCGGCGGCGGUCCCUGGCUCAGCUGAGCGGCGGGGACAGUGAUGCGGUUUCAUGGCUGAGCGAAAAGCGCUCGCGGCCACUGCCUGUCCUCGCUUUGCCUCCAUUCGAAGGAAUAAGCUCCAUCCGGGCGUCAGGCAGGCGGAACAUUCCUCCCACUCACUCGGCUGCACAGCCAGACGCGCGUCAGGAGUGAGCUCACCGGCUUUUUGUCCAGACCUGCGAGGACGUCACCGUUUCAAUUGUUUCCGUCGCUUCCAUUGGAGUUGCGCUCGUCGGCUGCGGGAACGGAGGGAAUGUUCCAGGUCAGCUCCAGCUCGGGCCUGAUGACAGUUAACGAUUUGCAGAUAGGAAAAAUAGGCAGGUAGAGAUUUUCUGUCCAUUGUUCUCAGUCAAGGCGGCGGGCCCAUUUAAAUUUAGAUCAUGAGUCACACUGAUAGGCGUGAAAGAUCUGGAGUGAAAGCUAAAUUACUGCCACAGAACCUGAACACAGAAGUGCUGAUGGUGCUGAAAGUAGAACACAAAAGUAGAGAGCUGUCAAGCUAUAAAAUUACACAGCGAGCCGGCUGAAAAGAUGAUUAUGGGCAAUUAUGCAGCAGCAAAUGUCCUCUAAGGGGAGACCUUCCAUAUUUCAGAGGUUAGCGCCAAUGGACUCGCAAAUAGCAACACAUUCAAGCAUUUUCUGUGUUGGCUCGCAACAGCACAAUCACAUGUGCAAUAAGUAGCUCUGUGUGAUGAUUGCUAUGAAUUAUAUACUGUAGCUUUAUGAGAUAGAGCAGAUAGUAUAUUAUAUAAUAACAUGGCAUUUUUCAUAAUGACUGCUUAUUUAUAUGAAAAUGCUCAUCACACUCAGAUGCGUGAGCAAACAAAAAAUCUGCUAAACACAUUCACAGUUCACAUACAGUGAGAGCAAUAAACCUUUUUUUUAAAUUCUGAGUUCUUAGAAAAUAUAUAAAUAUAGUUCAAACUAAAAGAGGCAAGCGCACCGAGUGCACGCAUCUACAGCCACACUUUCAAUUAAGACAUGAAACAAAUUACCUUUCAUCAGACCAUGAUGUCUCAAAGGACCAUCUCACAUGCUUGUUAAUGAUGUUGUUGAACAUAGGUUUGUGCAUUUGUUCCUAUGAUUUGGAUCUAGACGCAUCUGUUGAGACUACAGACAUUUGCUGUGCAGGUUUUACCCAUUAUUAAUAUAACAAUGAACACAUUAUACAUGGUAUGUUGAAGAAUUUCGCAGCUCAGGUAUUUUUUUCUCGGCUCUGUUAAACUUUUAGCAACUCUUAUUUUGUCGACUGUGAUUUGUGAAGUCACACACACACACACACACACACACACACUGCUCCUGGCUGCACCUUCCAUGUUUUCCAGAGGCUUGCGUGGUCCGGCUCCUCCCCACACACGGCUCUUCCUUCCCAGACAGGAAGUCAUUAUAGGGUCUCUUACCCCAUCGCAGAUGGCCAUUUAACACAUCGCUGGCAACUGCAAAUGAAGCAGGAGUAGCAGACGCUUGAGUAGACCCGGCCGACUUUGCACAAAUGUUUAUCUCCCGCUCACCUGCUGUGCUGGGAUGGGAGGUGCACUUCAACCUUGGCUCCAUUUGGACUUAUUUAUUUAUUUCUAUUUGUUCGACACAGUACUUGGAGGGCUGCUGUUCGCUUCCUUUUACUUUCACACUCCUUGCUGAACAAGACCCAUUUAGCCCAAUUUCAGGGGAAACAGCUGUGAUGAGAAAACCUUUGUUUAUUUCGUCGUCGUCGCUGCUGUGUUUUCUCUUUUUCUGGUAGUUCAGGGAAUCGAGCUGACGGACAGCAGAGAUUUUCCCUAAACCUCAUUUUGCUGGCCCAACGAAAUUUGUAAUAGCCAUAUUUGCUCUGUCAAGCCGCCUUAGCCUCUCGGCGCAUUCAGACUAGCAUUGGUGAUAAAACAGAUAAAGCCGAGCUGACAAGUUAAAAAUGAGAGCACAAUUGUGGCUGACACUCUGGAGACAGCUGUCCUCUUUGCCGUUUCCUCCCUCGUUCUUGCACCGUGUUUUAUUUGCUCUUGUAGUCUGGAAAAGCCCUUAUUGUUAUUUACUAUCACUGCUGGGUAAAAUAUUAAUGAAGGCACCUCUUGAGGAUGAAAAGCUGAGAGGUAUCACUGUACCAGAGAGAGGGAGAGGGAGAGAGAGAGCAUGGAGGAUUUAAAGAGCCUGUUCAUUAGUCCCUUUCUAUGGUUCUCCUUCGCAUUGACUACAGUCUGUGAACGUUGGCUGUCAGAUGUAGGAUCUGCGGACACUCGUGUGAUGUGCGGGUGUGAAGCAACUUAGAAGUGCGCCACUGUCAACUUUGCGUGCAUGGGGGGAAUCACAGGAUGUAAUGAGUGUCUCGCGUGCGAAAAAUCCACUUGAGAUAAGGGGCAGAGGUUUCUUUAGAGCAACGCUGGCAAGGCUGGGUGUCUAAAUCACGGCUUGGAAUGGACCCUCAGCGCGGCGACUGGCUGUCACAGCCACAGAUGGAAGACGGUGCCCACAGGAAAAGGAUAAACUGUCUGAUAAAGGCUCGGUGAGGUAGAGGGCUUCUGCUGGCAGACAGGCUCUUGAGAGAAAACGGGGGGGAGUCAAGAGGGAACAGGCAGCAGAUGAAUCUCCAUCUGUGUUCAGAGGCGAGCGGGGAAAACAAGCCAAAACGACCACUGAGGUGCAGCUUUGCUCUCAUGCCUCUUGUGGGUUUUACCUUUUCCGAAGAAACGCCCAAGUGCCCCUUUUGAUGCCGCUCCGUCCCACCGAGGACGGGGCGGCACCCGCUGGCGUCAUAAUGAGCCGGGAUGAGAGGCAUCAAUCAGAGGCUCCGGCAACGGAGGCGGCGAUAUUUAAAGGCUUAUCCAAUCAAUACAAGCAGAGAAGGAGCAAUGGAUGAGUCACUGCAUCACGCUGGCGAUUUGUCGCCAUGCGCUGCCCGUCGUCAACGUCGUUUGUUGGUUAAUCAGUGCGAGUUAGCAAAUGAACCCUCACACGCGUUUUUGGCCAAGUAGGCGACUAAUGGCGUGAGAGCGGUUUGUGCAAAUGGGUUUUAGUGAGUUCAGACUGCAUCAAACUGUGUAUCGGACACAUUGGGCAGAGAGGGUUUGGAUUGAAAAUAUUGGGACCAAUUGUAAAGUUUUGAGCAGAUCUUCAGUCUGAGGUUUGAAGUUCCUUGUGUACUGAACAGUACAAUUAAAUGUAAUGUUUACAGCAAGUAAACACUACAUCACACACAGCUUAAAUGAAAAAAGUUUCAAGCACUAAAAAUGCUGUAACUAUGUAGUUAUGGUAUCUGUAAUUAACCGAAUAAAUUAUUUAUUCAUACAGCAAAAAUCAGAUUACAGAUUGUCUUUUAAUAGUAACUAUGUGAUUUUCAACAACCAGAAGAAACCGUGACCCACAAACUCCAGUCACCCAAAUAACUGAUCAGAAUAAUUUCAGUUAACGACACCUUCAGUUCGGUGCCAUUGCUGCUUUUCUUGCUUAUUUGUGAUUAUGGAGUAUAAUAUCAUAACAAUUAUCACUGCACUAAUCAACACUAUUCUAACCUCUAAUUAUAAUGUAUAUUGAAUGUCUUCUGCUUUUGAUUAAUCUAAACAGCAGGUUAGACCUCAGUAGACAGUAUUUACUAGAACACCUUUCAGUUUCAUUUUCUACAUUGUCUCCAGUUUUCUGUUGACAAAGUCUUCUCCAGAAUAGAGAAUGUGUUUCAGGGCGCUCAGGAUCAGUGAGUCGAUGUCGUCAUUGAGGUCAAUUUCCUCAUGAUAGUUCUUCACAAGGAAGAUGGAGUCCAUAGGAAUCCCCACAUCUACACUGAACUGUUCCAUCUGAAGACCACAAACAUCUCAGAUGUUCUUCAAAUCCUUCUUCACCUCUGGACAGGCUGCAUCAACUUUGAGGUGUUGUCUGCCAAAGCCUGUCUGCACAUCCUGCCUCUUAAAACACUUUGGACAGAGUUGAUGAAACUGGAUUUUCCUGCUCCACAUUGUCCAUGAAGAAGAAUCCUGAGCUGCUGCUCUUUAUUAAAAGGUUUGUAGUUGUUCACAUACUGGAGAGAUUCCUGUUUUUUUCUUCUCACAGAAGGAACAUUAGGUCUCAUCUUAAACUAAUACUAAAAUAACGCAACAUAAAAUAAGAAAUGUAAAAAAACAUUGAUUUUAGUGAAAUUUAAAUCAUUAAUGCAAACACUCACCCCCAGUCUAUUUUUCUCCAUGGUUUAUCAAGAACUGAGAAAGACAAGUAUUAAUAGAAUAAUUAUAUCAUUGUACAAUAUAAGAGAUUUGAUGUAUAUAACUUUCAGUUUAGUUUUAAAAUGAUCUCACCUUUUGGCGGAGGAGGAGGCGGAGGAGAUUGAGAUGAUUGUCCUUCCGUUGAUGAGAACAUGUCCUCAGCUUUCUUUGAAAUGUAUUCUGACACAUUUUUAAGCAUCCACAUAAUAGUAUCAAACUUUUGAAUUUGCCUCAAAGUACAGUAUUUCUGAAAAAAUAAAUAGGCAAAUGGAAAUACCUUUACAACUUUAGAAAAUAUUUACUGUAUGUCAUAUACAAAUAAUUCAGUCUUUAAGAGCAACCAGAUUACAAUAACAAAUAAAUAAAUUAAAUAUUACUCUACCUUUUGAUGUGUUGCUAACUGAAGGUCAAGCUGUCUGAUUCUGAGCUGUUGACAGCCUAUUGACAAUGACUAACCACACCCUCACUCUCAGGUUUUAGUUUCACUUGGAUGAAGCAUGUGACAUGACAUCAAAACAAAAAAAAAACUCCACAUGAGCUGGGUGUGAGUCU